rnacentral:rRNA from 1 species
AGAGUUUGAUCCUGGCUCAGAUUGAACGCUGGCGGCAGGCUUAACACAUGCAAGUCGAGCGGAAACUGCAUAGGCAAUCCCUUCGGGGUGCGCUUAUGGACGUCGAGCGGCGGACGGGUGAGUAAUGCCUGGGAAUCUGCCUGGUAGUGGGGGAUAACUUGCCGAAAGGUAAGCUAAUACCGCGUACGCCCUACGGGGGAAAGCAGGGGAUCUUCGGACCUUGCGCUAUCAGAUGAGCCCAGGCCGGAUUAGCUAGUUGGUAGGGUAAAGGCCUACCAAGGCGACGAUCCGUAGCUGGUCUGAGAGGAUGAUCAGCCACACCGGGACUGAGACACGGCCCGGACUCCUACGGGAGGCAGCAGUGGGGAAUAUUGGACAAUGGGGGGAACCCUGUUCCAGCCAUGCCGCGUGUGUGAAGAAGGUCUUCGGAUUGUAAAGCACUUUAAGUUGGGAGGAAGAGCUCCGGGCUAAUACCCUGCGAGUUUUGACGUUACCAACAGAAUAAGCACCGGCUAACUUCGUGCCAGCAGCCGCGGUAAUACGAAGGGUGCGAGCGUUAAUCGGAAUUACUGGGCGUAAAGCGCGCGUAGGUGGUUUGUUAAGUUGGAAGUGAAAGCCCCGGGCUCAACCUGGGAAUUGCUUUCAAAACUGACGGGCUAGAGUACGGUAGAGGGUAGUGGAAUUUCCUGUGUAGCGGUGAAAUGCGUAGAUAUAGGAAGGAACAUCAGUGGCGAAGGCGACUGCCUGGACUGAUACUGACACUGAGGUGCGAAAGCGUGGGGAGCAAACAGGAUUAGAUACCCUGGUAGUCCACGCCGUAAACGAUGUCAACUAGUUGUUGGGGGUCUUGUGCCCUUAAUAACGCACUUACCGCCUUAAGUUGAACGCCCUGGGGAAGUACGGCCCGAAGGGUUAAAACUCAAAUGAAAUUGACGGGGGGCCGCCACAAGCGGUGGAGCAUGGUGGUUUAAUUCAAAGCAAACCGGAAAA